rfam:Ovis aries breed Texel chromosome 3, whole genome shotgun sequence.
UCUCUGGUGGUCCAGUGGUUAGGACUCUACACUUUCACUGCUGAGGGCCUGAGUUAAACCCCUGGUCAGGGAA